rnacentral:rRNA from 1 species
UACGUAGGGACCGAGCGUUGUCCGGAUUCAUUGGGCGUAAAGAGCUCGUAGGCGGCUGCUCAAGUCGAAUGUGAAAACUCGAGGCUCAACCUCGAGCCUGCAUUCGAUACUGGGCGGCUAGAGUCUGGUAGGGGGAUCUGGAAUUCCUGGUGUAGCGGUGGAAUGCGCAGAUAUCAGGAGGAACACCGGUGGCGAAGGCGGUUCUCUGGGACGGUACUGACGCUGAGACGCGAAAGCGUGGGGAGCGAACAGG